rnacentral:rRNA from 1 species
UACGGGGGGGGCAAGCGUUGUUCGGAAUUACUGGGCGUAAAGGGUUCGUAGGUGGCCUGCUAAGUCGGACGUGAAAUCCCUCGGCUCAACCGGGGAACUGCGUCCGAUACUGGUGGGCUCGAGUGCAGGAGAGGAACGCGGAAUUCCAGGUGUAGCGGUGAAAUGCGUAGAUAUCGUCUGGAACGCCGAAGGUGAAAACAGCUCGCUGGGGCUGCGCUGACGCUGAGACACGAAAGCCAGGGGAGCGAACGGG